UUAAGAUCACAAAAAGGUCAAAUAAAGGGAA
rnacentral:piRNA from 1 species